rnacentral:rRNA from 1 species
GGACGACAUUAGACGAAUCAUCUGGAAAGAUGAAUCAAAGAAGGUAAUAAUCCUGUAGUCGAAAAUGUUGUCUCUCUUGAGUGGAUCCUGAGUACGACGGAGCACGUGAAAUUCCGUCGGAAUCUGGGAGGACCAUCUCCUAAGGCUAAAUACUCUCUAGUGACCGAUAGUGAACCAGUACCGUGAGGGAAAGGUGAAAAGCACCCCGGAAGGGGAGUGAAAUAGAACCUGAAACCGUGUGCUUACAAGUAGUCAGAGCCCGUUAAUGGGUGAUGGCGUGCCUUUUGUAGAAUGAACCGGCGAGUUACGAUUUGAUGCAAGGUUAAGCAGUAAAUGUGGAGCCGUAGCGAAAGCGAGUCUGAAUAGGGCGUUUAGUAUUUGGUCGUAGACCCGAAACCAGGUGAUCUACCCUUGGUCAGGUUGAAGUUCAGGUAACACUGAAUGGAGGACCGAACCGACUUACGUUGAAAAGUGAGCGGAUGAACUGAGGGUAGCGGAGAAAUUCCAAUCGAACCUGGAGAUAGCUGGUUCUCUCCGAAAUAGCUUUAGGGCUAGCCUCAAGUGAUGAUUAUUGGAGGUAGAGCACUGUUUGGACGAGGGGCCCCUCUCGGGUUACCGAAUUCAGACAAACUCCGAAUGCCAAUUAAUUUAACUUGGGAGUCAGAACAUGGGUGAUAAGGUCCGUGUUCGAAAGGGAAACAGCCCAGACCACCAGCUAAGGUCCCAAAAUAUAUGUUAAGUGGAAAAGGAUGUGGCGUUGCCCAGACAACUAGGAUGUUGGCUUAGAAGCAGCCAUCAUUUAAAGAGUGCGUAAUAGCUCACUAGUCGAGUGACACUGCGCCGAAAAUGUACCGGGGCUAAACAUAUUACCGAAGCUGUGGAUUGUCCUUUGGACAAUGGUAGGAGAGCGUUCUAAGGGCGUUGAAGCAUGAUCGUAAGGACAUGUGGAGCGCUUAGAAGUGAGAAUGCCGGUGUGAGUAGCGAAAGACGGGUGAGAAUCCCGUCCACCGAUUGACUAAGGUUUCCAGAGGAAGGCUCGUCCGCUCUGGGUUAGUCGGGUCCUAAGCUGAGGCCGACAGGCGUAGGCGAUGGAUAACAGGUUGAUAUUCCUGUACCACCUAUAAUCGUUUUAAUCGAUGGGGGGACGCAGUAGGAUAGGCGAAGCGUGCGAUUGGAUUGCACGUCUAAGCAGUAAGGCUGAGUAUUAGGCAAAUCCGGUACUCAUUAAGGCUGAGCUGUGAUGGGGAGAAGACAUUGUGUCUUCGAGUCGUUGAUUUCACACUGCCGAGAAAAGCCUCUAGAUAGAAAAUAGGUGCCCGUACCGCAAACCGACACAGGUAGUCAAGAUGAGAAUUCUAAGGUGAGCGAGCGAACUCUCGUUAAGGAACUCGGCAAAAUGACCCCGUAACUUCGGGAGAAGGGGUGCUCUUUAGGGUUAACGCCCAGAAGAGCCGCAGUGAAUAGGCCCAAGCGACUGUUUAUCAAAAACACAGGUCUCUGCUAAACCGUAAGGUGAUGUAUAGGGGCUGACGCCUGCCCGGUGCUGGAAGGUUAAGAGGAGUGGUUAGCUUCUGCGAAGCUACGAAUCGAAGCCCCAGUAAACGGCGGCCGUAACUAUAACGGUCCUAAGGUAGCGAAAUUCCUUGUCGGGUAAGUUCCGACCCGCACGAAAGGCGUAACGAUUUGGGCACUGUCUCAACGAGAGACUCGGUGAAAUCAUAGUACCUGUGAAGAUGCAGGUUACCCGCGACAGGACGGAAAGACCCCGUGGAGCUUUACUGUAGCCUGAUAUUGAAAUUCGGCACAGCUUGUACAGGAUAGGUAGGAGCCUUUGAAACGUGAGCGCUAGCUUACGUGGAGGCGCUGGUGGGAUACUACCCUAGCUGUGUUGGCUUUCUAACCCGCACCACUUAUCGUGGUGGGAGACAGUGUCAGGCGGGCAGUUUGACUGGGGCGGUCGCCUCCUAAAAGGUAACGGAGGCGCUCAAAGGUUCCCUCAGAAUGGUUGGAAAUCAUUCAUAGAGUGUAAAGGCAUAAGGGAGCUUGACUGCGAGACCUACAAGUCGAGCAGGGUCGAAAGACGGACUUAGUGAUCCGGUGGUUCCGCAUGGAAGGGCCAUCGCUCAACGGAUAAAAGCUACCCCGGGGAUAACAGGCUUAUCUCCCCCAAGAGUUCACAUCGACGGGGAGGUUUGGCACCUCGAUGUCGGCUCAUCGCAUCCUGGGGCUGUAGUCGGUCCCAAGGGUUGGGCUGUUCGCCCAUUAAAGCGGUACGCGAGCUGGGUUCAGAACGUCGUGAGACAGUUCGGUCCCUAUCCGUCGUGGGCGUAGGAAAUUUGAGAGGAGCUGUCCUUAGUACGAGAGGACCGGGAUGGACAUACCUCUGGUGUACCAGUUGUCGUGCCAACGGCAUAGCUGGGUAGCUAUGUGUGGACGGGAUAAGUGCUGAAAGCAUCUAAGCAUGAAGCCCCCCUCAAGAUGAGAUUUCCCAACUUCGGUUAUAAGAUCCCUCAAAGAUGAUGAGGUUAAUAGGUUCGAGGUGGAAGCAUGGUGACAUGUGGAGCUGACGAAUACUAA